UGCUGGAGGUAUCAGAAGUGCGAAUGCUGACAUAAGUAACGAUAAUGCGGGUGAAAAACCCGCACGCCGGAAGACCAAGGGUUCCUGUCCAACGUUAAUCGGGGCAGGGUGAGUCGACCCCUAAGGCGAGGCUGAAAAGCGUAGUCGAUGGGAAACAGGUUAAUAUUCCUGUACUUGGUGUUACUGCGAAGGGGGGACGGAGAAGGCUAGGCUAGCCGGGCGACGGUUGUCCCGGUUUAAGCAUGUAGGCGGAGUGACCAGGUAAAUCCGGUUGCUUAUCAACGCUGAGGUGUGAUGACGAUGCACUACGGUGCAGAAGUAGUUGAUGCCAUGCUUCCAGGAAAAGCCUCUAAGCAUCAGGUAACAUGAAAUCGUACCCCAAACCGACACAGGUGGUCAGGUAGAGAAUACUCAGGCGCUUGAGAGAACUCGGGUGAAGGAACUAGGCAAAAUGGUGCCGUAACUUCGGGAGAAGGCACGCUGGCAUUAGGUAAAGGGACUUGCUCCCGGCGCCGAAGCCAGUCGCAGAUACCAGCUGGCUGCAACUGUUUAAUAAAAACACAGCACUGUGCAAACACGAAAGUGGACGUAUACGGUGUGACGCCUGCCCGGUGCUGGAAGGUUAAUUGAUGGGGUCAGCCGCAAGGCGAAGCUCUUGAUCGAAGCCCCAGUAAACGGCGGCCGUAACUAUAACGGUCCUAAGGUAGCGAAAUUCCUUGUCGGGUAAGUUCCGACCUGCACGAAUGGCGUAAUGAUGGCCAGGCUGUCUCCACCCGAGACUCAGUGAAAUUGAACUCGCUGUGAAGAUGCAGUGUACCCGCGGCAAGACGGAAAGACCCCGUGAACCUUUACUAUAGCUUGACACUGAACAUUGAGCCUUGAUGUGUAGGAUAGGUGGGAGGCAUAGAAGUGUGGACGCCAGUCUGCAUGGAGCCAACCUUGAAAUACCACCCUUUAAUGUUUGAUGUUCUAACUCGGCCCCGUAAUCCGGGGUGAGGACAGUGUCUGGUGGGUAGUUUGACUGGGGCGGUCUCCUCCCAAAGAGUAACGGAGGAGCACGAAGGUUAGCUAAUCACGGUCGGACAUCGUGAGGUUAGUGCAAAGGCAUAAGCUAGCUUGACUGCGAGAGUGACGGCUCGAGCAGGUACGAAAGUAGGUCUUAGUGAUCCGGUGGUUCUGAAUGGAAGGGCCAUCGCUCAACGGAUAAAAGGUACUCCGGGGAUAACAGGCUGAUACCGCCCAAGAGUUCAUAUCGACGGCGGUGUUUGGCACCUCGAUGUCGGCUCAUCACAUCCUGGGGCUGAAGUAGGUCCCAAGGGUAUGGCUGUUCGCCAUUUAAAGUGGUACGCGAGCUGGGUUUAGAACGUCGUGAGACAGUUCGGUCCCUAUCUGCCGUGGGCGUUGGAAGAUUGAGAGGGGCUGCUCCUAGUACGAGAGGACCGGAGUGGACGAAUCACUGGUGUUCGGGUUGUCAUGCCAAUGGCAUUGCCCGGUAGCUAAAUUCGGAAGAGAUAACCGCUGAAAGCAUCUAAGCGGGAAACUUGCCUCGAGAUGAGUCUUCCCUGGGGCUUUAAGCCCCCUGAAGGAACGUUAAAGACGAUGACGUUGAUAGGCUGGGUGUGUAAGUGCAGCGAUGCAUUGAGCUAACCAGUACUAAUGAACCGUGAGGCUUAACCUU
rnacentral:rRNA from 1 species